rnacentral:rRNA from 1 species
GAUGAACGCUGGCGGCGUGCCUAAUACAUGCAAGUCGAGCGAACAGACGAGGAUCUUGCUCCGCUUACGUUAGCGGCGGGCGGGUGAGUAACACGUGAAUAACCUACCUAUAAGACUGGGAUAACGGCGGGAAACCGGAGCUAAUACCGGAUAAUAUAUUGAACCGCCUGGUUCAAUAAUAAAAGUCGGCUUUGCUGGCACGCUUAGAUGGAUCCGCGCCGCUUUAGGUGGUUUGUAAGGACACGGCCUACCAAGGGUACGAGGCGUCGCCGACGUGAGAGGAUGGGUGGCCACACUGGAAGUGUGACACGCUCCAGGCUCCUACGGGAGGCAGCAGUAGGGCAUCUUCCGCAAUGGGCGGGAGCUUGUCGGAACAACGCCAAGUGUGUGAUGAAGGUCUUCGGAUCGUAAGAUUCUGUUUUUCGGGAAGAACAGUUGUGUAAGUAGCUAUGCAGGUAAUGACGGUACCUAAUCAGGAAGCCACGGCUAACUACGUG